UGUGUACUAUACGCAUUAUACCGUGAACUGCGAAUGGCUCAUUAAAUCAGUUAUCGUUUAUUUGAUAAUACCUUACUACUUGGAUAACCGUGGUAAUUCUAGAGCUAAUACAUGCUGAAAAUCCCGACUUCGGAAGGGAUGUGUUUAUUAGAUAAAAAACCAAUGCCCUUCGGGGCUUUUUGGUGAUUCAUGAUAACUUUACGGAUCGCAUAGCCUUGCGCUGGCGACGGUUCAUUCAAAUUUCUGCCCUAUCAACUUUCGAUGGUAAGGUAUUGGCUUACCAUGGUUUCAACGGGUAACGGGGAAUUAGGGUUCGAUUCCGGAGAGGGAGCCUGAGAAACGGCUACCACAUCCAAGGAAGGCAGCAGGCGCGCAAAUUACCCAAUCCCGACACGGGGAGGUAGUGACAAUAAAUACUGAUACAGGGCUCUUUUGGGUCUUGUAAUUGGAAUGAGUACAAUUUAAACCUCUUAACGAGGAACAAUUGGAGGGCAAGUCUGGUGCCAGCAGCCGCGGUAAUUCCAGCUCCAAUAGCGUAUAUUAAAGUUGUUGCAGUUAAAAAGCUCGUAGUUGAAACUUGGGUCUGGCUGGCGGGUCCGCCUCACCGCGUGCACUCGUCCGGCCGGGCCUUCCUUCUGAAGAACCUCAUGCCCUUCACUGGGCGUGUUGGGGAAUCAUGACUUUUACUUUGAAAAAAUUAGAGUGUUCAAAGCAGGCCUUUGCUCGAAUACGUUAGCAUGGAAUAAUAAAAUAGGGCGUGCGUUUCUAUUUUGUUGGUUUCUACAGACGCCGCAAUGAUUAACAGGAACAGUCGGGGGCAUCAGUAUUCAGUUGUCAGAGGUGAAAUUCUUGGAUUUACUGAAGACUAACUACUGCGAAAGCAUUUGCCAAGGAUGUUUUCAUUAAUCAGUGGAACGAAAGUUAGGGGAUCGGAGACGAUCAGAAUACCGUCGUAGUCUUACCGUAACUAUGCCGACUAGGGAAUCGGGCGAUGUUCCUUUUUUCUGACU
rnacentral:rRNA from 1 species